UUUUCAUUUAACCUAGAGUGAGCAAGAACAAGACAAUUAUUGAACAUGGGGUAAGACAUUCUCACUAAUAUGUAAAUAAAGCCAGUUUGUUACUUAGAAUUAUUUAUUUUUGGAGAAACCUAACUUGAUUUUUUUAGCAGACAUUACUUGUAUUCAUGAAGAUGAUGAGUGAUCGGCAAAGGCAAUCUGUAAUCUGCUAGCAUCACGGCACGACAUCAACAUCACUCUAAUUACAGGCAGAAGACAGUUGAAGAAACUUGUGUGGACUUAUGGAAAGGCUCGUUUCAACCCAAUGAUUUGUCUGCCCUACAAAGAACUUUGCGUCCUGCUGGCCCAGGCAUGGAUCAAAGAUGGCGAGACAUUCAAUAAUGUCAUCUUCACAGAUUAAUCAACCAUGGCCCAAUUUGCUCCAGAAAAAAAGGAAGAAGAUGAAGCAAGCCGAGUCCCAAGCAUCUGCUCAAACUCAAUGUGUGGGGUGCAAUUUCUCCCCAGGGACCAGGCCCAUAUUUGAUUUUUGAUGGUAUCAUGUCUCGAUAUAUCUUUGAGGAAGAAAUCAUCAAGUGCUGAGCACUUGCUUUUCCUUCACUCUACGGUCCAACUCUUGCCAAACCAUCUCAAAUGGGUUGAGAUCGGGUGAUUGUGGAGGCCAAGUCAU